AUCACAGCCCUGAACAAAGCAGUCGUGGAACAAAAGCCUGAGCAAUCUUGGAGCAAUUUGGCGGUCAACAGAAACGGCUGUUUGAACAGCAUUGCGGAUAAUAGAUUCUGCAAAUGGGCAUGUCUGGGAGUAGAACCCAACUCGCAGUUGCCCUUUUGUCGUAACACCAAAGUAAGCAUGAAUUAUAACAAGGGCAAUAACCAGAGGUUUUAGAUUGUAAUUGUGCAUUUUGAAGACACAGGAGAAUAAGGUAUUGAAGUAAGAGACGACAGAGAGAAAGAGAGUGAGAGAGAGAGCAGGGGAUGCCUAGCUAGCAAGUAUUGGAGUUGAUGAUGAAAAUCUCUUUAAUAGACCGGUAGAGCUACGCAAUAGAUAUGUCAAAACCUGCACGCCUUGUGGUUCUACUUCUUGCCCUCUUAUCUUCUCUUCACUUCACUUUCUUCUAUGCAAUAUUUCUACAGCU
rnacentral:misc_RNA from 1 species